rnacentral:lncRNA from 1 species
UCGAAAUUGCAAUUUCUAGUAUAUCUUAAAUUGUAGUGUUGACUUUUUAUAUAGAAGCCUAAAAAAAAAGGACUACCUAUCGAAUUUGAUAUGUACCAGAUCGCCUAGAAUAGACAAUACUGCUCAGAUAAGGAAAACGUCUUUAAACUCAUACAUAAAGAUCAUUAGUAGUAACGAUACUUGUUCAACAGUCAGAAAUAAAAAAAAAAGAUAAAAAAUGUACAAAACAAC